GGCCCGGUGGCUCAGUUGGUUAGAGCGCCGCCCUGUCACGGCGGAGGUCGACGGUUCGAGUCCGUUCCGGGUCG
rnacentral:tRNA from 1 species